CAGGGAACUACUGUAGAUGGCUGUCAAUUUCUCCAUAAUGUUUUAUGUACAUUUUGUGGCCUCUUCUCCAUGCCAUGUACAACGCAUAUGUGAACACUGCAGUAGCAAACAGCUUAUAAGAUUAAUUCAUCUGGAGGAGGACAAUCCUUUCAGGAUUCAUCUUCUGUGUCCAAUUUAAAGAGGGUUUCUCAGUCUGAGUCUGUAAGUGGAAGACAGGAUAUCAUUCACAUAAACCUUUAAAAAAACUUUCUAAGCCUUAAAUCAAAAGAAGAAUUUUAAAUUUUUAUAUUUUUCAGAGAAGUAACUAAAACCUCUCCAGGCAUAAUUUAUGCUGUUGACA
rnacentral:lncRNA from 1 species